rfam:Ovis aries breed Texel chromosome 2, whole genome shotgun sequence.
UCCCUGGUGGUUUAGUGGUAAAGAAUCUGCCUGCAAUACAGGAGACCUGGGUUCAAACCCCAGGUUGGGAA